rnacentral:misc_RNA from 1 species
GUUAAUUGUUAAUUGGUUGUCACAGUAAAGCUUCAUAAUCCCCUCUCUCGUAAUCUUAAGAUCAUCAAGAAUAAUCUUUCGCCAUAACAAUUCACAAACCUUAUGAGUCAUUGCGUUAAAUUCCGUUGCAGUACUGGAUCUAGCCAACACGUUUUGUUUUUUGCUUUUCCAUUUCACCAAAUUUCCUCCUAAGAAUGUGUAAUAAUUUGAUGUU